UUAACUUCACCCUCUAUGCACCACCUGGCUCAUUCUUCUGGUGUAAUGGUUCUCUCAUCACUAUCGUAUUCACCAACACCUCUACCCCAUGUAUACUGGUGACGCUUGUCCCACUAUUGACUCUCUAUACCCCAGCUGAAGUGCAGGCCCUCUUGUCUCCCCCAGUGAGGAAUAAGCGGUCUGCUUUCCUUCCAAUACUGGUGGGUCUCUCACUGGCUGCAUCUGCGGUGGGAGCAGGAAUUUUUGGUGGAGCUCUAGGACACUCCUUAUGGGCUGUACAGGACUUAAGUUCUAAACUUGAACAAGCGCUCACUUCUACGGCAGAAUCUCUGGCAUCUUUACAAAGGCAGGUCACAUCCUUGGCUCAAGUUACUCUUCAAAAUCAACGAGCUAUAGACUUACUCACAGCCAAAAAAGGUGGAACCUGUCUUUUCUUGAGGGAAGAAUGCUGUUACUACAUCAAUGAAUCAGGCCUUGUGGAAACUAAUGUAGUCAAGCUCACCGACUUGGCUACCUCUUUGAAAAAUCCACCAAACCAAAUCCCAUUUGCCACCUUCUUUUUAGCCCACUUCCAAUCGUGGCUGUUGCCUCUUUUAGGGCCCAUAUGUCUCCUUUUCCUGAUGUGUCUGUUCCUGCCCUGUCUGCUUCACUUCCUACAGGGCCAAUUAUGGAAGAUGUCUAACCAAACUUUCAACCAGCUUCUGCUUUGGUACUAUCUGAUGACCGAUGAACCCCCAACAUCUUAAAGAGAACAGCUCACUCAUUGCUGAAGCUCACUACCAGGCGCGAUGGAAUGCAAUGGACAUCGGACAGUGGGAGACAAUGAGCCCGGAGAACCUCUUAAUCUGCCAUCCUGGAUUCUUGAGCCUUUAUGUCCUUUUAAGCCUCCUCAUGGCCCUUGGCCUCUUCUCUGUCAGUCCCCCAACAUGGAACUUCUGCCAAAAACUAACAUUUGCUUUAAUGUUUUAUCUUCAUCCUGUUUUUGUUUGCUCUGAUUUUCUUCAGGUGCAGGUGAUGUCAUGUCAAGGCAACGCUUCCAAUAUUUCCUAGAGUCUCUGCUACAGGAUCAGUGGCUGAUACCAACUAUCUCCUCCAUCCAGGACUGGUUCGAUGCCAUCGACGACUUGUGGUUUCAGGGAACUUUCAUAGACUUCACCCCUACGGAAGUAGCUGUCUAUAGCCACUGGGUUUUAUUUCUGGAUGCCAUGAUAUCCCCAGACCUGCCCCCAGAACAUUCCUCCACUUCCCAUUCUAGGCCCUACGCUGCCCCCGCACAGCCGGAAGCAGCCAGAUCUGACCAACGAUGCCCCAAUUCCUAAGAAAACAGAAAGGGAGGAAUGUUGGGAAAACACAUAAUGGCAGCAGCACCCCAGAGAAAAACCCCAACAUGACGCCUAAUGACCCUCUUUCUCCUCUUUUUCUUUCAUUGGCAUGAAACGUUCCCACCGGCGCCAAUGUUCAAAUCCUGCUUGUGGGAAGCCUUAGCCCCAAUAAGAAUUAACUUCUUGGGCUCCGGAACUGACAUAUGGAAGAGCUUGCCAAUAAACGGGCAACCCGUUAUCUACCUCAGCCCUGCUACCUCUCCUUAGACCUAUAUAAACACACAGCCUUUUGUAAUAAAGCGGAACCUCUUCGGU
rnacentral:lncRNA from 1 species